rnacentral:rRNA from 1 species
AGAGUUUGAUCCUGGCUCAGGACGAACGCUGGCGGUGUGCUUCACACAUGCAAGUCGAGCGAAUGAAGUAGGUAGCUUGCUACUUAUGGAUUUAGCGGCGGACGGGUGAGUAAUAUAUAGGAAUCUGCCUUAGAGCGGGGAACAACAGACCGAAAGGUUUGCUAAUGCCCCAUAGGUAUGCAGUCUUCGGAUUGUAUAUUAAAGGAGUAAUCCACUCUAAGAUGAGCCUGUAUCCGAUUAGCUAGUUGGCGGGGUAAAGGCCCACCAAGGCUACGAUCGGUAGUUGGUCUGAGAGGAUGAUCAGCCACAAUGGGACUGAGACACGGCCCAUACUCCUACGGGAGGCAGCAGUGGGGAAUUUUACACAAUGGGGGAAACCCUGAUGUAGCGACACCGCGUGAACGAAGAAGCCUUUUGGGGUGUAAAGUUCUGUCGGCUGGAACGAAAAAAAUGACGGUACCAGCAAAGGAAGCAUCGGCUAACUACGUGCCAGCAGCCGCGGUAAGACGUAGGAUGCAAGCGUUGUCCGGAUUUAUUGGGCGUAAAGAGUUCGUAGGCGGUCAUUUAAGUCUGGUGUUAAAUACUGUGGCCCAACCACAGAACUGCAUUGGAUACUGGAUGACUUGAGUGCGGUAGAGGCGAGUGGAAUUCCCAGUGUAGCGGUGAAAUGCGUAGA